CUUGUAGGGCAAUAACUCCUUAUUGGGUCAAAUGAUAAUUUUCGUAUUGCUUACUUUGCUGAAUAAUUUUACUGUUUACAGUUUAUCUAUUAUAUAUACGAGAUAAUAACCAAAAACUGCAAAAUUUCCUUAAAAUUACAAAUUCAGAGGCAGCACCCUAACCCAACAACGGGACGUCUGAUGCGUCUAAAAAAUUCAGCACCGAUAGAUCUUUACCUGAUGGAACAAUUUUAUCCCCAGUCAGAUUUACUCUAAUUGCUUUAUUUUCGGAGAUAUAAGCUAUGUUUUCAUUUAGCCAUGAUGGUCAUCUUGGAUGAUUGGCGGGGUCAUCAGAAACUUUAAAACUAGAUACCCUAAAGAAGAUUUAGGCCAAGUUUGGUAUUAUUUGGCUAAGUAGUUGCAGAAUUUUUUUUUGUAAAAGUGAAUGGACGCCAAGUGAUUAGAAAAGCUCACUUGGGCCAGGUGAGCUUAACAAGUUGAGAUUUACCAGUUUUCUUACAAUAACUCUAAAUUGCUUUCAGCAAUUCCCAUGAAACUUUGGUGAAUUGUUUAUAUUGAUUGAUGAUGUAAGCUCCCUUUUCUUUUUCAUAAAUUUCUAAUAUGACAUUGAGAAGUAAUUGAACUUCAUUCUUUUAGUAUAAUCACUCUGAAGACAGCAGAGGUCAAUGGCCUUGCCAUUUCUAAAUGCUCGUGUUUCAUCUUAAGUUUUUGGGCUAAAACUGUCAUCAAUAUAUAAUAUGCCAUUUGCAAGGGUACUCGCUCUCGGAAAUCGGUUUUGACUGACUAAAAAGCUACAAUGUUCGCCUCCCCAAGGGCAAUGUGAGCUAGUGCCAUUACUCAAUGUCCAUUAUUGUAAUAUUUUUCAUUAAAAAAAAUCUCCCUCAACUGAAGAUUGUUUGCUUCAUCUGUAAUUGUCUAUUUAGAAUUUUAUGGUUAUCAUCUAGCAGAUACAUGUGGUCUAUGUCAGUCAUACAUGUCAUUGUGGCAAAAAUUUGUAUAGGAUAGAACUGCAGGAUUUUGCUAAUCUGUCAGAAACAAUCGCAAUUAAACAAAAACAAAAAUAACUUGUAAUAAAUGGGAGGCUGUUUAUACUAAAGGGGUGAAUUUGUUCACAUGUAGUGUAGUCCCCAGAAAUAUUUAUCUUUACUUCUGUUUGAAAACUAGAAGCUAUAGCAAGAAUUGUAAUUUGAAACCAAUAAAUAUCAAGAUUGCAAGUUCCAUCUCCAUCUGUAUAAUCUAGGAAAUUGGGCAGACCCUAUAUGGAGUUAUUGCCCUUGAAAUUUGAAUUUGGUAUUGUGACCUUGACCUUACAAACCGACAUUUCGAUUCGGUGGCCGAGUGGUCCAAUAAGUCGAACAAGUUAACGUUAUCACUAGCAUGUCAACACUGGUGUAGUAGUGUUGACAAUCUACUACAAUCCUAAAUGACUUGGAAUGUGGUUCUCUCCUGGUACUCAAGCUUCCUUUGACAAUAAACUGACCGAUACGAAUUAGAACAAUAAAGCUGAAAGUUGCGUUUAACACCAAAACAAUAUAUCAAAUAUUGCAUAGAAGUAUAAUGAUAUCUGUUCAAACAUUGGAUUGAAAUAUAUAUGUUGAAUCUGUUUCUAUUUUCCUCG
rnacentral:lncRNA from 1 species